rnacentral:misc_RNA from 1 species
GUUCGAUUCAGCUCCUCCUUCCAUUGCCAUUUCCGGUGCGUAUUAAUCAAUGUUUUUGCAGAGCGAAUAGAGAUGUGUAGAGAGAGAAAUCGAAACCGAGUCAAAGCAAUUGCAUUUUGCAGAGAGAGAGAGAGAAUGAGAACCAGAAGAGAUUUGUGAAGAAGAUGAAGAUUUUUUUUUUCUCAAAAUGAGGAAAUGGAAAGAGUGUGGAAGUU